GACGAACGCUGGCGGCGUGCUUAACACAUGCAAGUCGAACGGAAAGGCCCUGCUUUUGUGGGGUGCUCGAGUGGCGAACGGGUGAGUAACACGUGAGUAACCUGCCCUAGACUUUGGGAUAACUUCAGGAAACUGGGGCUAAUACCGGAUAGGAGCUCCUGCUGCAUGGUGGGGGUUGGAAAGUUUCGGCGGUUGGGGAUGGAUUAGCGGCUUAUCAGCUUGCUGGUGGGGUCGUGGCUUACCAAGGCUUUGACGGGUAGCCGGCCUGAGAGGGUGGCCGGCCACGUUGGGACGGAGAUACGGCCCAGACUACUACGGGAGGCAGCGGUGGAGAAUAUUGCACAGUGGGCGGAGGCCUGAUGCAGCAACGCCGCGUGCGGUAUGACGGCCUUCGGGUUGUGAUCCGCUUUCGCCUGUGACGAAGCGUGAGUGACGGUAAUGGGUAAAGAAGCACCGGCUAACUACGUG
rnacentral:rRNA from 1 species